GAGCCCGGGAGGCAGAGGUUGCAGUGAGCCAAGAUUGUGCCCCUGAACUGCAGCCUGGGCAAUAGAGGGAGACUGUGUCUCAAAGAAAAGAAAAAAGGCAAUGGUUAAAAUGAUAAAUUUUUGUUAUGUAUAUUUUACCACAAUUUUUAAAAAGAAAUGAGGUAUUGAUACUUCAUUGACAAUGUAGAUGAAUCCAGAAAACAUUAUGACAAGUGAAAGAAGGCAGAAAUUGAAGGUCAUAUGUUGUGGUAUGGUUCCAAUUAUAUGGAACGUCCAAGAUAGGUAAAUUCAUAGAAACACAAAGCAGAUUGGUGGGUACCAGGGGCUGGGGGAGGAGGGAACAGCGAGUGACUGCUUGAUGGGUACGGGGUUUGGUCUCCUUUGAUGUGAAGAAAAUAUUUUAGAACUACAGGUGAUGUUUGUCACAACCUUGUGAAGAUACUAAAUGCCUCUGAAAUGUGUGUUUUAAAUUGGCUCAUUUUAUAUUAUGUGAAUUUCACCUCAAUUUUUUGCAACAGAGACUCCUUCAGGGUGAGCAAAGGCCUGGAAAAACCUGUAUGCAGAUAAAGAAAAGGAAAGAAAGAGAUAAUCAGUGCAUGCAGUUGUCAGCUGGCUGGGACCUGAGGAGAGUCACUUGUGGAGGCAACUGGUCUUUAUCCCCAUUGUCCGGUACAAGGCAGGCAUUAAUCCUGUGAUCCUUAUCUGAAGCUCAGGUUUGAUUUUAUUCUUUUCUUAAGUACCUACUGUUAUCCCCAAGCUUAUAAUAAUAGUUUAAUUGUUACAGCCAGUAUCUCACCUUCAGAAGUAAGAUGCUUAGGAAACCAAGACAAGGAACUGUGUGUUGCAAACAGCAUCACCCUGGAGAAGAGGUGGCAGGAGGUGACCUACAGAAAAUGGAGUAAUAGCCUAGAGCAAGAAACACAGAACAAAAGAGAAAUGAGGGGUUAGGCAACCUCCUGGAGCACCAAUGGGACAAGCACAUAUUCAGGGGCCUCCUAACAGACUCGACUUCCAGCAUCCUCAGAUGGUGCUAGACACGUUACAUAGACGUUCAAGAGUAGAGAACUCAGGGACUUCUGAUUUAUAUCAAGAAAUGCAUACACAGCAGACGUGUGCCUGUGGAGUGGAAUUCUGGAAAAGCUCACAGCCCAGAACAUAAUGCAGACUCCCCCAGCCACAGCACCUUCCAAACCUGAGAAGAGUGCUGAUUCUCCAUCUGAGCACCCAUUCUCCUGCAACAUCAGGGGAGAGGAUUUCACCUAAGGGUCAGACCAGCAUCUCCAAACCCAGCUCCCCACCUUUGCCUGUUGGUGGCACUUGUGGGAGAAGGGGAGAUGGUAUGAAAAGAGCCACAACAGGAGUCACCUGGACAGGGUGGAGCUUGAUGGAAACUGACAUUUGUGCCCAUUGGAGGCAAAUGUAGAAUUUGGUAUCUUCCGUAGCGUCAGGCACAUGAAACUCUCCAGUGCCCAUGACUUUUGACAGUGACUUCAGAGCACAUCUGGGAGACCCAUGUGGCCCAGGCUCCACACAGGCAGGAGCUCAGCUUCACUCACAGCAGGAUUCCUAGUGCCAAGAACACCAUAGGUGCAUAGCAGGUGAUCAAAAUAAUUGUAUGUGGCUGAAUCAGUGAGAGGUAAGAGAGAGGACUUGAUCCUAGCUGCAAACUAAGAGACCUCAUUAAAACCUAACAUGUGGCUGGGUGUGGUGGCUCACGCCUGUAAGCCCAGCACUUUGGGAGGCCGAGGGGUGGAUCACCUGAGGUCAGGAGUUCAAGACAAGCCUGGCCAACGUGGUGAAAACCCAUCUCUACUAAAUAUACAAAAAAUUGGCUGGGCAUGGUGGCAGGUGCCUGUAAUCCCAGCUACUUGGGAGGCUGAGGCAGGAGAAUCACUUGAACCCAGGAGGCGGAGGUUGCAGUGAGCCGAGAUUGCACCACUAUACUCCAGCCUGGCAAUAAGAGCAAAAGUCCGUCUCAAAACAAAAAACGAAAAAACAAAAAACACCUAACAUGUGAGGCCCAGCAUGGUGGCUCAGACCUGUAAUCCCAGGAUUCUGGGAGGCUGAGGCUGGAAGAUUGCUUGAGCCCAGGAGUUCAAGACCAACCUGGGCAACAUAGCGAGACCCUGUCUCUGGGAAAAAAAAAAUUACCUGGGCAUAGUUACAGUCCUAGCUACUCGGGAGGCUGAGGCAGGAGGAUUGCUGGAGCCCAGGAGUUUGAGGUUACAGUGAGCUAUGAUUGCACCACUGUAUUCCAGCCUGGGCAAUGGAGCGACACCCUGUCUGUCUUCAAAAACUAUAUAUAUAUGGUGUAUGUGUGUGUAUGUAUGUGUAUGAUAUCAGAAAAAAAUAACCUAUUCAUGGUGGGGGAAAAAAGAGCCUGACUUUUGAGGUGUAUAAGCGUGGAGUCGGGUUCAAAUCAGGCUCUGAUCUUUCUGGCUCUGUGAUAUGGGGCAGGGCAUAUUACCAAGCUCAGCCUCAGCAUCUCUACCUGUGAAAUGGGCUUGAUUCAGUACACCACACAGGGCUGCUGUAGUAUGUAUGAAUUAAUGUUUGUGAAAUAUUUAGCAUGGUGCCUGACACAUGGUACUCAGUAAGAAACAACUAUUGCUAUUAAGUGCUUUGCACUUUGGUUUUCACAGAGCUAACAAUUUUUACUGUCUAGCUUUGUGUCUUUGAAAGAUUUUUGAGCUCUGAGAAUGACCUUUUAAGACCUCAGCACUUCUAGAAGAGGUCACACUUUGAGCUUCAAUAGCUAGCAUUUUUGUCAAUUAGUUAACAGUGUGCUGAAAGCAAGUCCCUGUAGAGAGUGUUCACGGGCAUGAGCCACAGGGAAUACAAUGUGAGCCCCACCGUUGUGCAGCUUUGUGACUUCCUGGAGAGCCUACAUGCAAACAGAAAAGUCCCAGGAUAAAGAAAUGUGGAUAUUCCACACAUUUUAAAAAGACCUGGAGGGAUGAAGAGGACAAGCUGUCCCAGUAGGCCCCGGACUGCCCUGGUUUUAACACUAAAUGUCCGACAUCCUGAUAACCCUUACUCCCAGGCAAAUCAGGCCAGUUGGUCAUCUAAUUGGAGGUUAUCAAAGGAGGUGGGUUUUAGCAUCCUCUUUCCUUUCCUGUUACAUUGAGACCAUGGGGUGCUAUUGAAUAAACUUGAUUCGGUUUCUUCAAAAAAAGCCAGAAAUUGAUCUAAUAGGUUUUGCUCAUAUUUGGUAAUUGAAUUGGACUGUAUACAGUCUGCACGUUUACCUUAUUUUCCAUUAUAUAAUGGUACCAAAUAUCACAAUGAUUUUCAAAAAUUAAUGCUUUUAGUGAUGGAUUACUAGGUGUUGAAAUGCUUUAUAAUAUACUUAUGAAAACAUUUAUACAAAUAAUUUCAUCCUCCACAUGACAUUUAGAAAAGUUUAGUCUGGCUGGGUACAGUGGCUCACUCCUGUAAUCCCAGCACUUUGGGAGGCCAAGGCAGGUGGAUCACCUUAGGUUAGGAGUUCGAGACCAGCCUGGCCAACAUGGUGAAACCCCGUCUCUACUAAAAAUACAAAAAAUAGCCCAGUGUGGUGGCGCACACAUGUAGUCCUAGCUACUUGGUAGGCUGAGGCAGCAGAAUCACUUGAAUCUGGGAGGCAGAGGUUGCAGUGACCCAAGAUCACGCCACUGCAUUCCAGCCCAGGAGACAGGGUGAGACUCUGUUUCAAAAAGAAAGAAAAGAGAAGAGAAAAGAUGAAAAGGAAAUGUUUAGUUUGAAAUUCCGUUACCGAAAGUUCUCGGGGGUUGGGGGAGGUGGGAGGCAAUAUCUUUUUGCUAUUAUAUUUCUUAUAGUGCAGUGUCAGUGAAACUAUGUCAUCCUUUGUAAAAUCAAUAAAAUCCCUGUCAAUUUAUCUGGCCAUUCGAUACUUUAUCAUCUAUAAUUUUUCAAGACAUCUAUUUGGUUGAAGUGUCUUCAUCAAUUGAUGGACUGUACAUCAGUCUGGUUUGGCAGUUUACAUUGUAUUUUCCUCUGAGUUUAUCUUCUCUGUUUCAUGGACUUCACUAGGGUCAGUGGUUCUUAAGUUGGAUGAUAAGAAACCCCAAUCUUCCAUACAGGGUACAGUUUGGCCAUUGGUUUUAACUCAGGUCAUGGCAUAGCAGUUGCAUUUCUAUGGAAGCAAAGCUAACCUUGGAAAUGGACUCUAAUCAAAGACUCACUAACAUCAAACAAGUCAUAACCACAUUAAGUAAUGUCUUAAAGGCAAAAAUCAAUAGUAAUUCACUUUGAGCAUUUAAAGAGUCAGGCUCUCAGUCACUGUCUUUGAGAUUAUGAGAGCAUAGUAGAAAACAGCUUGUCCAACUGCCUUAUUUAAUA
rnacentral:lncRNA from 10 species